AACCUCUGGCAAGGGGCAAAGGGACAGCUUGGUGGUGGUGGUGGUGUUCUUCCGUCAGGGGCAGAGCAGACGCCAUGGCAGUCCUUGGUUCAUACUAGCUUGAUGUCUGGCUCGAUGCCUAAGCUGUUUUAUGCCCGGGACAUAUAA